rnacentral:sRNA from 1 species
AUUAAGUCCUUAUUUAGUACUUAGUCUGAAGUGUGACCCAAUCAGCCAUGAGUGCCUCUCAUGACAAAGACUUGACACCACCACCUUCCUCCAGGGGAAAGAAGAAAAAGAAGAAAUCCACUCGGAAGAAGAGAAGGAGGUCCUCAUCCUAUAGCCCAUCGCCUGCCAAGAAAAAGAAGAAGAAAGGUUCCAAGAAACAUAAGCGACGCAGGUCAUUCUCCAAGAAGAGAAGGCACAGCUCCUCUAGCCCAAAAAGCAAAAAAAGAGAUGAGAAGAGGCACAAGAAACAAUCUCGAAGCCGCCCCCGAAAGUCUCACCGCCACCGCCAUCACCGCUGCCCCUCGCGGUCCCAGAGCUCGGAGUCCCGCCCCUCAAGCUAUGAGAGCAGGCACCGCGCCCGGUCCCCUGAGGAAGGGCAGAAAUCCCGCCGAAGGCACUCCCGCCGCUGCUCCAAGACCCU